rnacentral:tRNA from 1 species
GCGGCAGUGGCGUAAUGGUAGCCGCGUCGGCCUUAGGAGCCGGUGCCGAAAGGCGUGGGGGUUCGAGUCCCUUCUGCCGCA